GUUGCGCGGGCCGGGCCUGGCCUCUUGCUCCGGCGCGGCGGAGUCCUAGGCUUCUGCAAAGAGAGACGAGGUCUCAGGCCUGCUGGGGACCUGAUGUGAAGGCUGUAACAGCCUGGAAUUGGUCCUGGUGGCUCCACCAUGCUUGAGCUGCUGGCAGCGGGGAUUGGUGCCACGUGUCCGGGGGGCUCAGGACAAGACUAUGCAGCGUGGAGACGUGUGGGCAGUCUGCUGUUCAGAACAGCUGCCCCAGCAUGGGAUGGGAGCCAGCCUGGCUGAGGUAGAUCCCUUUGGAAGAGGCACUGUCCUAGGCUUCUGCAAAGAGAGACAAGGUCUCAGGCCUGCUGGGGACCUGAUGUGAAGGCUGUAACAGCCUGGAAUUGGUCCUGGUGGCUCCACCAUGCUUGAGCUGCUGGCAGCGGGGAUUGGUUGAGAUUUGUCAGAAGUUGUCCCAGGACCUGCUGUGAUCUCAGUGUACUAGCGGGAAGCUGUCUCCUGCUAAUGAUGCCCCUCUUGUUGCUACUGUCCGUGAUCCCUUGUCCAAGCUACAACAUCCAUGUCAUCCUGCAAGAGCUCUUUGGUCUCUUUUCAGAGUUAGCAGGGAGUGAUAAAUUGGUGUCCUGCCAGCUCACAGAUGAAGGGUAGUGUUUUUUUCUUUUUUUCCUUCCUCAGUUUGAGGCAUUUAAUUGUAAUGGAUUCUGGAGCUUGCUGCAAGUUCAGUAUAAUCCGGAGCUUUUGCCUGCAAGGCCUGCAUUCACCACCUGAUAGUUAAUGUUACCUUGCUGCUAUCAAUAAAAGUAUAGAAGUCUCACCUUAGAAAGUUGCUGUCCUGUAUGGGAGGAUGGCCUUGCAUUUAAGGCCUGUCCUUCUUUUCCAAGAGUUGAGGAUUCAAAUCUUGGCUAUACCAAUUUGUCACUGUCUGCCUGUAAUGCGGGAAAGGGACCUUAUGGUUGCUGCAGUGCAGUCUGGGUUUCUGUACUGUUUAGAGCUUACUAUUGAAUAAAAUCUGAGUAUUGGGUGAACUCAGCUUUUGGGUGCAAUUCUCUCUUUCCACACUUCAAGCAGCCAAUUUCUAGAUGUCCUAAUCUUUAUUUUUGGAGUCUGAUGUCAGCAGUGCUUCUGUGUAGUGACCACUUACAUGGAGCUGCCUGCUGCACCAAGCUUUUAAAAAAAAGGUGGGAGGGGUGUGAUCUUAUGGCACUAUAGCUAAUAUUUGCAUGACCUGUGGUAAAAGGACUUAGCUAAGGUUUCUGGCUGCUGGUCUGCCCCAGGAAACAACAGUAGGGCACCCUUCUCUGCUGGGUGCUAAAGAUAAACAGGUCUGUGCUCUGGACCAAAGGGAGAGGCUUGGUCUGGACUUUGGAUCUAUUGUCAUGGCAAGGGCUGUCCCUUAAUUUUUGCCUUAGCUCCUGGAUGGGGAGCAGCUAGUGUGGUACAUUAAAUCAUUGAGGAUUUUUGCUGACCUGGUGAAAGAUGUGGAUUGGCAUGCUCCCAGGUAAGUCACUAGCUCUGCAAAUUCUUUGUGCAGGAGCCCUAGAGAAAGGGCAGUAUAGGAAAGGAAGCUGAUGUCAGGGCUGCUGUUGGAUUAGGACAACAACAGGAUUAGGACAUUUUCAUCACAUGUGUAAUUUGGUCAGCUAUCAGGAAUGACUACUUCUGGCUAGAAGGACUGUUCUAGUUGACAGAUCUUUAUUCACAUCCUCCAGCCUUCCUCUGGAUGCUGUUUUACUGUCUCUAGCAGCUCUCCAGAAUAUACACAUCUGGUCUCAGUGGGAACAGAAAAUCUGUCAGUGCUGUGUGACAUCUGCAUUAUCAUAGAGGGGUUGAAUAGUGGUGAGUCUGUUCUGCAAGGAGAGAGAAGGCAUUCUCCAUCUGCUGUGCCUGCUAGCCUGGCAGGCAGGAGUGGUGUCUGCAUGGUGCACAGUCAAAAAGGCCUUGACAGAUGUCUCGUGCAGGUCUUAGUCUGGUAAGAUUUGUACACCCUGCUAGCAAUGCAAAUGAAGUAAAUAUCCCCUUCAGUUCAAGCUGACAUGAAGAAUUCGGAUAUAUGUUAACCUGCAGUGUCUAAAACAGCAGGUUCAGCUUUAAACCCCAGGCCUAAUGAUGAAAGUAGUUGUUCCUCCUGUACUACUGUUGGGAAGUCACGCAGCAGGUAUGUCCAUUAGGAAUGGGGUUUAAAACCAGUUCUCCUGCAGCCUCAUUAGGUUCCUGAGGAGCAGGGCCACCUGGCAGCUGUUGAAAGUUAAUGCGUUGCUACUUCUGGGCCUGUGGAAGCCUGGUCAUACAUGCUAAACACCGAGUGAGCAGCUGUUCCCUGAAAGCAGCUAGGUAUACAGGCGUUAGGGCUGCUGCGAGCUAGCCAGCCCAAUGGCGACAAGUACCCUCGCUUAAGUAGUUGAGGGGCAAAUGCAAGGAGCAGGUAAUGGGCUGAGGAAAUAUUUAAGGAAUGAUUUCCUGCAGCAUUUAAAGUAUUGCCAUGUUAUUUUUAGUGCCUGGUAGCAACAACCUAAUUAAUGGAUUGGAAAUUAUUUAUGGCAAGUACAAGUUUGUAGAGCAUUUCUGCUAUUUAGAACCAUAAAUAACAAUUUCUGUGGUUAUGGGAGGGAAUUUGGUAGCUGAGCUGGUGGUGGCCUUUAGCAUGUUUAGCAGUGGUGGAAAAUGAGCUAUUAGUCAGCAUUUAAAGCAGUCUUCCAUUAAACUGAGUAGAGCCUUUUUUUUUUUUUAAUAAUAUGAGCAGCAUAAUCUCUUGAAAUAGGACAUAUUGAGGAGGGAUCAGAACUGCUGUUCAUAUUACUUUACUAAUAUGAGCAUAUCUAACAGAAAGCAUCCUUUAGAUUUGAGAUUGAAGGCUGCCAGGUGCCCAGUGGGAGCUGUGAGGACAGGCUUAAAUGGAAUUUGUGUGUUUCAUUAUUUCUCUGCAAGAAGAGAUGAUCAGGUCAGGAUUCAAGCAUUGCUGUUACUGCACGUACAGAUGGACAACAAAACUCUCUGAAGAUGACUAACCCACUGUAGGCAACUCAUGAAUGCUCUCGAGUCUGGCUGCAGGGAAGAGUGAGCUGGAGGAACUGCAUGCCAUGGGAACUGAAUCCAGAGGUUUGCUCUGACUGGGGAGCUGUAGGGGGGCUCAGCGUGCAUGUGUUUUCUAAGCCUUAUUAAGGGCCAGGUGGGGAUUUCUCCCUCAAACUGUCCAUUUUUGAGUUACUGUAUAUAUAUAGCCAUCACUCCUUUGUAUUCCUGUACUUGGAUGCUUUCACCUUAUCACUAUAGCAGUGUGUUGUAAUAAAUAAACCUUUGGAUCAGUGAUUGCUGGCAUAUCUGACAAGAAGUCUGACAAGUCAGAGACAAGCCCCCAAAGUAACCUACAGGUAAAUCUGAGCUUGUCAGAGGCUUUUAUUUAGGUGGUUAGAGCUGGAGGAGGAUUUCUGUACUGACAGGCUUCUAUUCCAAAGUUUGAUUCUGCUGUAGUUCCUGGUAUGCCUGCAAACCACUAGGCACCUUAGGUGUAUAGCUUGAUUAUUCAUCUGCUUUGAUGAUGCUUCUUCUGGAACUAGCUUGGGUGUAGAUGGCCUGCCUGCCACUCCUCCCAGACCUCUGCUCUGAACUCCCAUACGUCCUAACAAGGCUGCUGAGAAAUGUGAGAAUGGAUGUGUUUACCAAAAAUUUGUCUGGAUAGACCUUCAGGAAGAUGAGGACUUUGGUAGGCCCAACUGGCAAACAGUACAGGUAUCACAUUCUCUGGUACCACUGCAUCUCCUUUCUUGUUAUACAGGAUAUUCUACCUUCACCUGCUGCUUCUCCCUCCUCCCAGCAUAAUGGAGAGCUGGCUGAGCUUGGUUGUGGCCAGAAAAUUCAGUCCUGCAUGUAUUGCAUCGAUAUAAGCUAUUCCAAGAUUCGGGCUGCAAUGGACCUCAUAGUACAACUGUGUUACAACCAAGUAAUGAACUAGGCCUCCUGGGCGAUAAGGGAACUGUAAAAUGAACUUUCUACCAAGAAUGGGUGUACAAUCACCCCGUUUGAAAAUCUCUCAAUACAGCCCUCUAAUAAAGGAUGGGAAGGGUUAACACUGAAUCUAAAGCAAACAGUAUCUGAAUUCCUUUCCUUAGAGCUGUCACUGGCAUUUCCUACCCCAGUGCUUGCCUGACUUCUGCAGGCACUGGUCAAUACCUGCGUGUGGCUGCUGGGUGUUUUGAAUGAAAAGAUGAAGGCAGGUAUGUUUUGGACAAAAGCUGAUUUACAGCUUGUUCAGCUUGUGUCUCUACACAGAGAGCUCCAUAUUAACUCUCAGAGGCAGGCGAAGAAAAAUCCCAGCACGUCCAGAGCUCUUGUACUGCUGCUCUGAAGUAGUUAAACAGGACACUGGGGACAAAGACAAAACUGUCAGUUCCAUCAGUUAUAGCAGAAACAGACAAUGCUGUAUAUAUACACUUGUUUAACUUUGUAAACCCAAAAUUUGGAGUCAGUCACUGGACUGGUAUGUUUAAGCAAAUGUUUACUUUCCUCAAACAGCGCUCUUUCUUGGUGCCAUGAGGGUUUGAGAGGAAAAUAGCACAGAUUAUUUCCCUGGCUGAUGCUGCUUUUAAUAGAUAUGUAUUUUCAUACACAGUGAAGGUUUAACAUUUAUAUUCCCAAACACCCAGUCAUCUUUUUGACCACAUGUUGAUUAUGAUAUUCUUUUUAUACCCAUCUGUUAAGCAGCUGCAUUAGCUUAUGGGAUAACACAGUCCAUUUACUCUUUGCUGCUAGUACUCUUCAUGGCAUUAUUUCCUCUGCCUGCAUUUUGGCUCAGUGAUAUAUUAAAUUAUCUGACACAUCAGCUGUGUCGACUGGCUAGAUGCUAUCAUAGCAAUGAAACAAAACUUGGUUCUGUCAUUGCUGUAAGAGAUUUUUGCAUCCUUUAUGUAUUAUUUAUUUUCGGAAGCAGAGGCUUUCUUCCUCCUAAAGCACCUUUCUAGGCCAGUGUUUUUAAAGAGAUGUCCUACAGCUGUAGACUCUUACGUGUCCAUUCCACCUUUUUUGCCUGUUCACCAGCAGUGGUGGGGUGAAGUCUCUUGGCUCAGCCUGGGUCUGUGCUUUGGCAUUGUGGGAACCACUGGCUUGUGUUACAAAACCUGGGUUCCCUGGCAGUUUCCCAUCCAGAUGUUAGGCACGAGGCACAGAUAAGGCCAUGAGCAUCCCUCCUGCUAUGGCUGAGGCAGCAAUGGUUUAAAACUCCUAAUCAAGAGUGAAGAGUUAGUUCUGUACAAAACACUUUUGCCUUGCCUUCCCCUCCUUGGGCCCAUGCCAGUCUCUGAGGCCUCUAUGUAUGGGGCAGAUUUUUUCCAUUUUCCAUUUUUCCAGUAAAUUUAACUCUGGAGAAAAGUCAUGGAGUGCUGGAGACUUGUCUUCAUGUUUACAGAAAUAGAUACUCUGGGGUCUGAAGGAAUUUCCUAGGCUAGCAAGGGCUGGAUGUAGCCCCUGUUGCUCAGGGGCUUGAAGAGCCUGUUAUGUGGGUGGAGACCACCCAGCAACUUCCAGGUGGUGGCAAAGGGAGUUGGCUUGGGUGGUGAUGGGGGAAAAUACUCUUUGUGCCAGACUGUAUUCAUGGUGUAGAUUUGGAGCAACUCCAUUAAAUUCCCUGAGAUUGUUUGGGGUUCAUAGAUGCAAGUUCAGGACUGGUUCUAUCUGUUAAAUGAAAUUUCUUUUCUGUUAUAUUUAGAAAAUAUACAGACACUGGGAAGUCUGGACUUCGCUUGUGCCUGUUGCAUGCUCUGUUCUGCAGUUUUAAGUGCUGUGCCUGGGUCACCUUGAAGUCUUCCCUUCAGUGCUGAGAAUAAGUUUGAUGACUUUUGCUUUUUCUCAGAGCAAAUAUUAAGUCAGGGGUUGCCCUGAUUUCUCUACUUUGCACAGCGUCCCUUGGGUUUUUGUAACCUUCCUGAGCAAGGAUGUCCAGAGCCAGUAAGAUUUUUUUGGCAGGUGUGGUUUCAACACUGACUGCAUGAAGAAAUACGGCACUUUUUUCAUCUUAGGCAGGGUGACAAAUGUCCCUGCAGUGGGCUGAGGACGCUCAUCUAGUACGUGAGAGUGCUAGGUAGGCGGAUGCAGCCCUACGUGGUGCUACUUGCCCAGAUGGAUUCCCUGAAGCCCUGUUCCCGAGAGCUGCUCUCUGAAGAUGGGGCGGUAUGUUGGCACCCACGGGCUGGCCCAGAGUAGCACUGGCUUUCCACUUCACACACACUUGUUUCCCGCUGUGGGUGGUCAUGAUGUCUUCAACAGCCUACUGCUUCUGGUUCAGAGCUGCUGUUUAAUUGAAAGGGUGAGGCUCGUGCUUUUGAUCCUCCCACAGAUACUGGAAUGCUUGCACAUUGGUCCAAGAUUAGCUGCUGCCUAAGGGCCAGGCUCUAUCUGGAUACCAUUUCUCAGUGAGAGAAGCAAUACUAAGCCCUACCUCUGCCCUUGUUUAGCAGCUGUGGGUAUGUGUGCUUACCUCAUGCUGCACAAUUGCAGCAAUUGCAGGCAUUGCCUUAUUCCACCAGUUUCCCCAAAUCUAGCUGGAGAAUUUAAUGGCCUGCUAAAGAAGAAAGACAGCUGCUAUCUCUUGCAAACGAUUGCAAGCCAUCUGCAGGCUCAUGAGAUUGUUGCUGCAAUGGUUAUGCUGGCUUAGUCUCCAUUCACAUUUGGAAGGAUUUUGUCUAUCUAGAAGAGACAUUUUUUUCCUGAGAAAAAGCACUCACAGAGGAAGGUCUCUCUUGGGAGUGAAUCUGUUUUCCAGCAGCUGUGGAUCAGGCCCUUAACACCAACAGUUCAGAGCAGACUUUUCCUUUGAGUAUUCACUGUCACUUUUUUUCAGGAUAUUUAUAGGUGCAAUAUUCUUGGAAAUCUCCAGAGGAGGAAUGGGAGUGUCUAAGAAGUUUUGUUAGUCAGCAAUUUGCAUUGCUGUGGAAAUGCUUUAGCAGGGCUUGGGAAAAUUGCCUGGAGAAAAAGAUGGUUGCUAAAGGUGCUAAGAGCAGUUUGUAUUUCUCGUUGGUUCCUAGGUUGCUGAACCUGUACAGUGCGCAUGUGCUGCACAACCGCUGCUGUUGUAUCACCAGUGUGACACGUCUUAUGCUGCUGCUGAUGAUUUUCCUCUGUAAACCCUCUCUGUUUCUCCUCUGAACUGUGAGACAUACUCUCUGCCAUCCUGGAUAGUCUGCUGGGUGCCAAAGUGCUGUUGAAGUGGCUGGAUUGCUGGCUAUAAUGGCAAGUAGCAGCAUCAGUGGGGAUAGGAGGGAGGCUGAUGAGGUCUCAUGUCUUGGAAUGAGUUAAACAAGCUGGUGAAUGUGUUUGCAUGUGAACACAAACCUGUUUUUUCUUUUUUUUCCUAGCAGACUUGUCCCAGGUAGACCUGCUGUUACAUGGCCCUUUGGCCAGUGGGAGGCUUGCUGAGGAGGAGUCCAGUUCUGGGUCAUCUUCUUAGUUUAUGCAGCAGAUACAAAUCUGCCCCUUGCUGUUCUUUCCUUUACUCUUUUUUUUCCUCCUCUGGUGAAAACCACUUAUCAGAACAGAGCAGAGCAGGAGGGGGCGUACAGGAGAAUUUCCUCGGUGAAAGAAAGCAGGCAGGAUUAGGGCUGCGAGUGUCAGGCUUGCAGCACAAAUGCUGGGUGUGGGGUUCACGAUGCUGCACUGACUGGAUAUGAUAGGCACAAAGCACGUUGCAGCCUGGUGCCGGCGAGAAAUGAUGCAGCCUUUUCCUUGCAGGUGGGCAUCUCUUGUUUUGCAGGCUGCUAGAAGUUACACCAGUGGCUUCCUCCCCCUGCCCACCCCCCUUUUUUUUUAACACAGGUGGAAAGGUAGUGGUCUCCCAUGAGCUGCUGUCUCCCUGUCUGAAUUGUGAUAAGGAAUCUGACAAAGAAAACUGCCAUUCAGGGAAGAGCCUAUGAUGAUUUUCCCUCACACUAACAGGGAAUCUCAUCCAUUAUGCCCAAAUAGCUGGGUGUUGAAGGUUCUCACCGCUUUCUGCAGAAGGGAGUCUGUCUGUCCAUCACAGCAUUGCAAUUCUCCCAGCUGCGGCUCAGAAGCUGUGAGGAGGGAGAAAUGCCUUGCACAGGGGAUCUACAAGGCUAACAGAAGACAGGAUCUCUCCAGGGCCUUUGGAAAUGCAUCACCGUGUUGAGCCAUGGGUGGCAGAAAUCUGAGAUACUGAUAGGGGAAACAUAAAAGGAUGCAGUUCAGCUCCAAAAAUGUAUUCUGGAUUCAUUGACUGGAAUGGAAAAGCGAGUGCAUCUUGAACACUGACAUCCAAGGAGACUCAGGCUUGAUGAGAUCACUGUUACAAGGGCAUGUGGAGGUGGAAAGAUCCAUGCAGCUGUUAUGAACUGGGUUCAAAUCACCAACUCACUUCAUGAAGGCUAGCAGCAACUGUCAGAUUUAUUGACAUAAAUCUGGAUUCCUGAGUGUCUUGGCCACAGCCAUUAAAAUCACCCUGUCUAGCCCCUGCAGCCAUGGGAUGGCAUGUGAGCAAUGACCAGUAGCUACAAGCUGAUUGCAUGGAGCCAGGCAUUGGAAAAGCCUAGAUUAUUUCUUAUCCAUCUCCCUCUCCAGAGCAGUGGAUAUUCCUGUAGGUUCAAAACAUGAUUACCACCAGCAUUAUACUUUUUAAAAUCUGAAUUUCACACCUGUAAGUUUCCUUGCACUGUGGGUUUGUGGUGCCUAUGAACUGCUUCUCUGGCUCCCUUUCCUUUGAAAACGUGUAAUACUAUUAAGCAUUAUUUCCAUUAUUGGCAGAGAUACAAAAGGAAGUAUUCAGUGAUACUAUUAAGGUGAUUUAGGCUUACAAUGCCAAUUUCUUGGACUUGUUAAAAACAUUAUUAAAAGUCCUUAGUUCUUUUAAAAUAUCAUUAUUUAAAGUCUAGUGACCUCUUUUGCCAUUUAGAUCUCUCCUCUUGACUGUUUUCUUUAAGACUCUUGGCAUUGCAAAAACCCCGUGGUGAUUGUUUUGUUUAACUUUCUUGCUCCAGGAAUGUAAAAUGCAUUUAUUAAGAUUAAUUGUGAUAGGAUGGUAAUUUGUCAAAAAUCACCAGUGAUUUACGCCACUGUGGAAUAUAAGUAGGGACUCAUGGUCCACAUGCUGCAGACAGUAAACUGAAGGACAGAUCUUACCAGAGGACCCAGGGAGAUGGACUUGGUGGUCCCAGGGCAAAAGCGGUUCAGAGAGACCGGAAAGAGAAGGUGCUGUUAACCUUCCUCCCCAAAACUUAGCAUCCUCUGUUUGUGUUGCUGCUGUAACUUCCAUGGUGACCUACUGUGAUUUCCAUCAACAAAAGAAUAUACCUUCACGUAUAAGAAUAAUACAAAGCUCCUUUUUUCAUGCAGUUGUCCUUACUGUUCAGAAAUAAAAUGCUCCCACACCCCAUUCUUCUGAAUAUGUUGUCUAGAAACAUGCUUCAUCUGCAGAAUUGUUUUAGACCAAUCUUUUUUUCACCCUGUACCUUUCC